CACACACACACACACACACAAUCUGGUUUACACUUGUAUUUUCUCAGUAAAUCCUGUUUUCUCUGCCAAAGACACCAGCCUGACUCCAGGAGGGUUCUUCUCCAAUAAUACAAGCAAGGGCCUGUUAGGAAUCUACUGAGAAGUGAGGAAGUUACAUUUGUGCCAAAGCUGUUAAGAGGUCAUGCCUCAGAAGACAGAAGAACCAUGUGGGCUCUGACCAAAGCGAGGACAUGGCCCCAGCAUUGCUUCAUAGAGAUUACAAAUAAAACACGCGAUUUUUUGAGUCAUAACAGUUACACCAAGGGUAGAUUUCCACAGCCAGGCUUCCAGGUGGCUGUCAGAAUGUGGGGGCCACUAGAGUGUGGCUCACCCUGAAGGUCCUCUCGCCACCUUGGGGAGGGGAGGGGCAGACAGCCACACUCACCGGUCAGGGAAGAGGGGGGCAGGCUAAGAGUUGCCAUUCCAUGGCCAGCCCUCCAGGAGAUGCACACCGAAUAACCAAAAAAGACUGAUUUCUGAAGGAAGACAAAGCCUGAAGAGGGAGCUGUCCUUUCAUGCCCCAGGAGGGAGCCGCUCUGGGCAGACAGACUCAUUCAGGUGGCACAUACACACUCACAGGGAAAACCAAGGCCCUGGAACUUGGACACCCUCCUGGGAGCAAGUCACUUGUGGUUCCCUCAACACCCUGACAAGAGUCUGCUCCCCACCUGUGUCUGGACCCUGGCUUUCUCAUCUCACCACCAAAGACCAGGCUGGCCCUGGAGGACAGCGACUCAGCCCAGCUCCACCCAGUACCCGCUAAGCAGUCCUGAACAAGACCAGGCCCAAGUCUCCUCCCCUGAGGUGGAAGCCCUCCAGAUGCUGGCUUUGGCCCAGCGCUCCUUGGAGGGCUCCUCUCUAGGCGCAAGGGCGAGGGCAGGGCGGCCUGGGAGUCUGGGGUGCUAGAGUGGUCAUACACACCUAUACACACCAGCCUGAGCAGGCCUCCCGAUAUCUUACCUACAACCCGGCAGUAUGAUUUUACCCGCUGGCCUUCGAACACAAGGCACGAGCUAGCCGCCACACCUAAAAAGCCCUUUCCCAAACUGUCUGACCCUCUGUCCUGUGCCCGUCCCUCUGAGGGAUCACCAGCUCCCCAGGGCCUCUCCCCUUCCCACCCUGACUGUACAUCCAAAGGUCAGAGGGGCUCUUCCUGGAGGGGAAAGGCGGGUGUGUUUACUGGGGUAGGGGUGGGGGGAAAGGAAAGCGACCGACAUCAGCCACUGGAAGCAGCUCCGUGUGGACUUCAGGCUUCCUGGCCUUCCCCAGCCCGGCCAGACUUAGUUCAGGACCACUGGCCUUCGUCCCCUUGGAACCUGGGGCUGCGUGGGGAGAGAAGCGGACCUCCUAGCGCACCCCGGAAUCGGCAGGCACUCGGGAAGGUCAAGGACAUCAGACUCUAGGAAAGACUGAGGAACUGCUCCAAGCAAAGGGGGAUCAGAGCCAUGUUGCAAAAGACGUGGCAGAGGACUCUGCGGUCCCAGAUCCAGUGACGGAACCACCAGAGGGAAGCAGCCUCGGUCCCUCGCCCACUCCUGCACGAGAGCCCCACUUCCCUUCCUGGUCGGGCCUAGUACAGGCGUGGACACAGCUGGAUGCUCUGGAAGCACUUACCGCCAGGCCAAGACCACCACCUUCUGGGGGCUGCGAGCCCCACGCAGUGCUGACCGGCACCAUGACCUGAGGCCAGGCCCAGUCUGGCACGAGAGUAUCCCACGGGCUCACACCCCCCCACCGAGAAAGCAGGACAGAAAAGAGGAUUGAUGCAGCCUCAGAGCUUGCUCCGCGGGGCCUCUGGCAGGGGCCGUUGCAGCCGCCAUACCACCCUCACGGGCUCCGUGGCACUGUCCAGCUCACGGAGGCCGCCCAGGUCACCCGUCCGCCUGUACCACUGCAGAGCCGGCUGCAGCACCGUGAUGGGAAUGCUGAAGUUCAGGUGGCCUAUCAGGAGGUGGAUGAUGUCUGUAAGCGUUUGUGAUGCUAGUGAACCUUGACCGCUCGGCUACCGUGCUAUCUGCCAGUCUGCUCUGUUGUGGGCUUACUACUUUCCUCCUUAAACUGGAAUUCUCCUGUAAGGAGCAGCCACCACUUGUCUCCGUUUCAGAGCGUCCUCGGUUACUUACGUCGGUAUGGACUCGGCCGUUCUGUAUUAUCACGGGUACUCUGCAGCUCAGCCCGUCCUCCUAGGAGCUCCUCCAAGUCACCUCUGCGUUCUCUGCUCAUUUGCUGCACUUGCCAUUUUGUUGUUGGCAUUUCCUUCCCCUUGGGCACCACGAGGUGCUCGGGGUUCGUCCCAAAUGUUCCCUGCCCAAGCCCCGGAAUGAGUCACUUCCUGGUGCCUCUUAUUAGAGAAACCAUGAUCUGGGCUCUCGGUGUGCUCACUGCAAGUGGGGUGUCACUGCCUCUGGCCUCUCUCAGCGCACAGAGCUAGAUUUUAUACACACACACACAUCUAUACUUAUCUCUACACCCACUUCUCUGUAUAUGCACAUACUGGCUCUAAGCGUAUUACCAAUGAAUCACUAACUGCCCUCCAGCGGUUAGGAGAAGAAAGCAGUUGCCCUAAGAAACUUGGGAACACAGGGUUUCGCUGGGACAUGUGAAGGCUCCAGACAAAGAGAACCAUACACACUUAAACACUAUACUCUAGUUGGUAAAUCUGAGCCUCGCAAGGGUGUGAGGUAGGGAUUCUGCAAGUACUUUAUUUGUGUCCCACAGUUGAAGAAAUAAGGGAAUUCCACUCCUGCCAGCAAAAGCAAGGCAAGGUUUCUCACCAUGUCAGAAGUAAGGGAAGGGGACGCAUCGCGUAAGCCGUGGCGGGGAGUGCAGUUGGAGGUAUCCACGUGCACUCACAGUUGGCUUAUUUUUUUUUUAAUGGACAGACUGUUUUUAUUUUUUUAACCAGAAUUAGUUACCAAAACCUUCAAAUGGAAAGAUUUAACAACCACAUAUUUAAAAAAAAGGGGGGGGGUCACAGUUGCUAGUGUACAGCUGAGGAAUCGGGCAGUGUUAGGCGCACAAUCCUUUGUCAGGAGGCACCACUGUGCUGGAGCGGGGUGCUGUUCACCCCGGGUCACCCCUGACCCGCUACUCCCUACUGUCUUCACGCCCUCAUUCAUUCACUUGGACUGUGACUCUUGUUCUGAUCCAACUGCUGAGUUUCACAGAUCCAAUGAGAUUAGGUGACUUACCUGCGGUGGCGUGCUGGCAGAGAAGGAACGGGGACACAGAUCUCUCCUCUCCCUGCUCAGCGUCUGUCUCUCUCCACUCUAAGAGCACAAGUACCCAAAAACCUUGGCUCACUACCUCUUGGGCAU